UCAUAAUUAUUAUUAUGUGAUUACACAGCCUACACACAUAUGAAAACCGUAGUGCAUAUACUACAAAAUCACAUUGGUAGGCUGGAAUUCAAAAUCUUGUGGAUACUGUGUUGAUGUGGCAUUCAAGUAAACAACAAACAGAAUUUUUACCAUUUGCAUCCUGUCUUAUGUAAGACUAUAGCUUCUAUCAAAUUACCCAUUUCCCCUCACCAAGAUGAAGUUGAGAAAGUGUGAAAGGUCCCACCACCAGAGUAUUUAUUAGUCCUACUCGUUCACCUGGAUAUUCAAGGAUCCACUGCUAAGGCAGAUGUUCUAGUAUCACUCAUUUGGCAUUGGCAUCCCAGGGCAGCUUGCCCUGAGCUAAGGGCAAUUUCUCAGUCUAGCAAUAAACAACUUGCUUUUAUCAAUCUUAUACCUAAUGUCCAGGCAUGCCUUCAGAAAGGGUGGAUUGCCUCAUAAUGGGCUGAGUUUAGUUGCUCAAAAUUUUAUUUUUGUAUGUGAGCCUUGAAAACUGUAAAAUUAUCUUCAAAGCUAACUUAAUGGUUUAAAAAACUGCCACUGAGACUCUUUUUCUCACCUUUCCUUUUCCUUUUUUCUCCUCCCUCCUCUCAAGGACUAUAUGUUGAAGAGGCAACCUGUCUAGGAUUUUGAAUGAUCUCUUCUCCCAACCACUAAGCUGCAUUGAUGAAUUCCUCCUGGUGCUUCUCAAAUACUGAGGAUGUUCUUCUUUCAUAGAAGAUGGAGACCUGGGAAGAGCCCCCCCUAACUGAAUGAAAAGAUGAGACUGAAGAUUCAAGCCCAGACUUGAAGUUCUCCCUGUUGCUGAAAGCUCACACUAAACUCUGACUCACAGUGAGAAAACCCAGCCUGCUCCUUCACAGAUUCCAGCCUUCCUGCAGUCUGGAACAGAAAUAGAAAUUCUCUAGUUGAUUUUUAAAAAUGCAGACAUUGCCAGGGAAACAUAUUGUAAAAACAUAUAAAAUGAAGUGAAUUGUAAACAUUCAAG
rnacentral:lncRNA from 1 species